CUCUCUCUACAAUACACACCUUACUUCAAUUGGGUUGUAGAUUUACGGAUCCAAAUGGGAUACUUUUAGUUACAUCUGAUAAAUUACAAAGACUUGGAUAGAGUUACAGAACCACUUGAAGAAACACUUGUUAAUUUAGUAGAGAGGCACAAGCAAAGUGGUAUUCUAGGUGAAGAAACAUCGAAGACUGCUCUUUUCGUUUCUGUCUAGUCAGAUCUACAAGGUCACCGGAUACCACCCCCAGAUAUACCGUCAAACCAUUCGUCUUCUCUAGCAAACUCCUACAGCGAAAACCUAACCCUAAGUGUUUCAUGUGGCAACGCAUAGAUCGAAGCUAGGGUUUGUAGCAAUGACGAAAGCUUCAACAAUCUUCUUCUUCGACGACAACUUCGUUCUUCGGUUAGGGUUUUCCUCUUCUAGAUCUGGGGAACAUCAAGGGUGACAACGAGAAAAUAGAUGUUCAAACCUCGACGAUGGUUGAGGGUGGCAAUCCUUCUUCUUCGAUGUCAAUGUAAGAUCUGAGAAAAAGGGGGCGACGUCAAAGAUCUGAGAAAGGUGCAACGUAGAUAUGCUUCUUUUUCGUUCAAUCUUCUUUUCAUUGUUAGAUCUACUUCAAUUUUGUUCAUCGAGAGUUUAUGGUUUGGUUAGGGUGUGUGUUUUCAUCAAAUUUUCUAUGUGUAUGUGUUCAUCUAAUUUCGUGUUUGUGUGUGUGUGCUCAUCUGAUUUCAUGUAUGUGUGUGUGUGUGUGUUCAUCAGAUUUCAUGUGUGUAUCACUACUACAAAAUGGUUAAUAGAAAACUCUCCUUAAAAUAUGUUUUUAAGAAUUCGGUAUUUUAUUCUAGAAGGCGCUAUUUAUUUUCUAAAAAAAAAUACGUUCAUCUUUAAUGGAUCGUACUUUAUUAGGUUAUCAAAAAAGAUGCAUUACGGUUUUUCAUCUAAUUAAUUUAUUUUGCCGCCUAAAUAUAUUUGCCAAAUAUCUUUUAAUUUGUAUCUCGUCCUUACCCUAAUUCUACCACCGUUCGUUUCUUUCCUAUAAUCCUACGAUUGCCGCAUCAUCACCACAACUAGGAACUGUUGCCGCCACCACCAUAGCCACCAAUUGAUGUUGCUCCACAAUAGCCACCGGCGACUGUUGCCACCACCAUGACUGUCAUGCCUUCUCUGCACACACCAUUUGUUCGUUCAAGAGAUUACUUCUUAAUUAUCUUAAUCAUUAAUCAGCGAUUCUAAAUCUUUAAGAUUUUGGUGCCUCCUUUGUUGCUUAGGAUAAUUGGAUUUUAAAAUUGCUAUACAUUUUUUGCCUAAGUUUUUUAUUAUGGUAUUUACGAUCUUCAGUUUUCUUAGGGGUUUUUUUUUCAUAAUGGUCUUUGACAUGACCAACCUCAUACAUAAGGAUGUUGCAACUUUGGUUUGGUAAAUAUUGAAUAAGUUCUUAGUUUUUGAAAAGUGUUAUACUUUUUCAAACAUGCCACAUGGGAAUGCUUUCUCUUGCAUUUAAAGACUUAAUGAAGCAACUAUGCAGUCAUUGUGGCACCAAGAGCAUUUAAAUCAAGGUUUGUUGGUUCCUUGGUUUUUCCCUUGAAUUUAGUGGCAACAUGCGUAUUCUUUAUUGUAUUUAUGAUAAUANAUAUAUAUAUAUAUAUAUAUAUAUAUUGCAUGAAUAUUCUAAGGAUUAAUUGAACUAAUGUUGGUAUGAUAUAAAUUCUUUUAGAUUUUUGGUAUCCUUAACAUGAGCUAUUCACAUUCACAUCCAGAUUAGAUUUCUCAACUUAUAUUUUUAUUCUUAGAAUGUUUGUUGCAUAUUUAUAUUACAGGAUGAUAUUGGAAUAAAUAAAAGCUUAUAUGAAUUAGCUGGAAGUUAUCAGAGACAAGACUUCUUUAAAUCACCCAUGUUGGUGAGUUUCGUUACGUUCCCACUUUUCGAUGAAUUUUUCUCUACAAUUCUAUAUAUGCUUUACAAUGUUUUUAACUAUCCAGAGUAUUAAAGGAAAAGUAAUGUAAUAGACUUUUUCAAUAUCAACAUGUGGUUAUGGGUAAUCAUAUAAAUGCGAAAAAAUGAUUAUUCAAACAGAUAAUGUCAUGCUUUUCUAUAUUAAUUUUACCAUAUUGUGAACAGGUGUUCAUGUGUAGAGUGACAUUGAGAACAUGUUUGUUUCAUGAACAUGUUUGGGCCCUAGGAUGUUUAUGUGGACACUUGUUCCAUUGAGAUUUGCUUAUACUUAAGGCAAGGUUUGCUUCUUGAACAUUUUUGCUUACCAAGUUGUUUUUAUUUAUCUAGUUAGUAUUGGGGACUUGUAUUUGACCUUAGGUCUGGUCUGAUUUGGUACUGGGAAAGUCAAAAUUAACUUAACUUGAUGUCCUCAUUUUCUAAUUUCUAUUUUUUUUUUGUAGAUUUGUUUUUCAUAAUUGCUACACACUACCAGAAUAUGUACGUUGUAAUAUUGUAAGCGAUUACAACGUGUUGAGCUCUGGAUUUGUCAAUAUGUAACAUCUUUCAUUUUAUUAUCUUCAAUUGGAAUCCAUAAUGCACAAAAUAUAUUUUUUGAUCGACAUCCCAUGAUAUUAACACUAUUUUAGAAAUUGCAGGUGUGAAUGCUUAUUAUGCUUUGGAUGACCAAAAACUUAAUGAUUACAAUGACUUGAUGAUGGAGUCUCCACAUUUCUCACUAUAAGGUAUUUGGCUUGUUAUGUUUUAUAUCAAGUCAUGCAUGAUUUAUUUGAUUUCUCCUACCUGUAUUGUUUCAAAGUGUAAAAUAAAUUAGACUCCAUGAAUUGGAGUAAAAAAUGGUGUCUCAAAGAAACAAUUUGGUGGCCAUAACAUUGUAUCAGCCACUAAAUUGUAUUUUUUUUUUAUUAAUUUUGUUAGUUAUAAAGUACGGUUGUUUCUAAGAAACAGUACUUUAUAAUACUUAGAGAGUACGAUUAUACAACCAUACCCUAUUUAGUCGUUAAAUAGGAAACUCCCCCCUUAGAGUACGCUCCUAUAACCGUACUCUAUUACCUAUUUUAACCGUACUCUAUUUCCCCUUUUGUAGUAGUG
rnacentral:lncRNA from 1 species